ensembl:lncRNA
AUGCAAAUCUCUGUCUUUUGUUGUUGUUGUUGUUGUAGAAUUACAACCAUGAAUGCUGUAAAUGCUGUUCAACUGUUCAUUCUGCUUUGGACCUUUACUGCUGUCUGUCAAGCUAAAAAUUUCAAUGUAAGCUGUGAUGAUGUGACUGGAUUCGUUGGGAAAAAAGUAAAUCUCACCUGCAGAGUCUCUCAGCAGUGUGAUAAAUACUGCUUGAAAAUGUAUAAGUUUAAAUACCCUAAUGACACAGCAAUCUGUAAACAAGAGCCUCCUGUGGACUCCUGUGAUGAGAGUAAGAGCUUCACAUGCAGCUACACUCCAACUACUCCAAUGACAGAAAAAUUCAGAUUCUUUGCCCAAGCAAACUGCGAUAUGGACACAAAAGAAUUCACUGUGAACAUAGCAGUUUUAUUAAAAGAAGAUGAUCCUAAAUAUAAGGAUACUGCCAUCACUGCAGCUGUGGGCUGUUUCAGCAUCAUUCUCAUCAUCAUCAUCAUCAUGACAGUCAUUUGGAAAAUCACCAAAUCUUGUGGAUUCCAGAAGAGGAAAUUUCUUUGCAUCAAAUAUGAUGAGAACAACACCACUCCUCGAGAAGAUGUGAUAUAACAGCAUUGAAUCAGCAGUACGAGUUCUCAUGUGGUGCUCAUGAAACACACAAACUCUAUUUAAACACCACUAUAAACUACAUACUCUACUAUCUGUUGUAUCUCAAACUACUUAAUAUAUAACUCUGGAUGUUGGUUUAAAACUCUGUUUCUGUUUUAUACAAGUUUCUGUGAAAUAACAGCAUAUUAUUGAUCUGUUUGAUCAGUUUGUAUAUUUGUAUAUGUGACUUUAAUGAACCCGUGCCUUUGUGAACUUUAAGAGGAAACUCAAACUGUUUUGCUGUUUUUUUCAGAAUUUCAAGGAAUGUCUAUAAUGAAUGUCAAUGUAUUAAUGUUAAUAUAACUCAAGUUGGGAAAUGAUUUCUUAAUAUUUUGCCAUACGAUUUUCUAAUAGUGUAAAUGGUGUGGUUUUGUACAGUGCCUUUUAAAUGAAUAAAGACUUGUGAUGCUCUCUGAAGAUGAAUAUCUGUUUAUGGGUAAGUUAUACUUGUUAAACUAGUUAAGUGGGCAAGGAGUAAAAAGAGCUGAUCUUGUAUGUAUACAUUAUUUGUGUAAGACAAAUUUCAUAAUCUUAUUAUGCAGGAAAUCUUUAGAUACUUGAGGUUUUUACAUUUGCAUUCAAGGUUAAUAUUUGAUCAGUUUAUGCAUCCAGUAGUAUAACCGGCUGCUAACGUCACUGCUUACUGUUUGAGCGACUGACUGAGAAAUGAUAGCUGUUCUGGGAAAGAGAACAAAAUGAUCCUACAGCUGAUAAAAGCAAACACCUGUCACGUGACGAGCAUUCGGAGACAUGAAAAUCACUCAUUCCAUCAAUAGCCAGUCAGCUGAGACCAAAAAAAAGAAAAAACCUUGAGUGUGUUGUCAACAGGUGUAAACAUGGCAGAUGAACCACUGACUGAUUUCACAACACAAAUAAAUACUUAAUGUCAUUUUAUUGUAAAUGUUUAUUGUGCACUCACUGAUAUCAGUUUUUCAGUGUCUGAUAAUUAAUAUCUAUAAUUUUGUUUGUUUAAUUGAAUCAAGUCAAGCAUUUUAUUUCUGUACUGAUUUAUUAUAAUACAGAUGAUUUCAAAGCAGCUUUACAGUGAUAAACAGGAAAUAAUGAUUCAGUGAUGCAAACUGAGAUCAAUUCUGCUGUAAAGCAGCUCUAGAAAGACAGUAAACAGUCACUGAGCACGUUUACAUGCAAGUUCUUAAGCCGAUCAUGCUUAAUAAGCAGAAAAUGCACUUGGUCAUGUAAACACAGUAACCUGUUUUCUUUUAUCGGAGCAAGGUCAUAAACGGUGUAAGCAUAAACCGGUCGCAACAGGUAGUUUUUUGCCUCUUAUUCCAAUUUCGCAUGGCAUGUAAAUGCAAUAACCCGCUUUCUGUGGGCUUAUUGAAGUGUGUAUGUGAUAGGCUACGUGACAGGAACGCAUCAUUAGUGCAGAGUGUGCUUUCACACUUGGUUCACUUGCCUGGUCCGAACCCGAGUUUGAUUGCUCCCCCUCCCCCUGCCCCCACUGGACUGCGUUAAUAUUAUAUUAUUUGGGUCCAAACCGUGGUUCGUUUGCGACAUCACGCCAGCAGCUGUUUACCCUUUUGCUUAGUAAUGAUGGCACAGGAGAAAGGCAUCACAUUGCUCUCUGCACUUUUAUAUAUUUACGUUUUUGAACCGUUAGCUUUGUUUACAAGGCUUUGGUACAUAAUGGCACUUACGUCUGUCUUACGAAUGUACUGCAACUGCUCUAAAAAACGCUGAAGGCGAACAGAAAUGAGAUAUACAGCUCUCUGUUUGCAGCGUGUCAGUCACACUCAUCAGGAAAGUGAGUGAAACACACACACAAACACACAUUUCUAUCAAAUAAUACAUCAUUAAUAGCCGUUCACUUCUGCGAUUUGGUACGAUUGCUUACACAUCAGCAGCGAUCCGUACUGGAGUUCACAUGAACCGUACUCCAGACCAUCCUUUUUAAGCGGACUCGGUUCGGAAGACAGCGUUCACAUCAACCAAACGAACCGAACUCUGACGUCAAUCGAACCCGGGUGCGCACCAAAAGUGGUAGUAUGAAAGCACCCUUAAGCGCAUCUAGACCGAGCAAACGUCUUGCAGUAAACAAAGAAGGAAAUAGAUAUCACAAAAGCAGACUUUUUCAUGACUCAGAAAAUGAAUAAAAAAAGUGUUCUUAUCUCGUGCAGCAGAAGUGGAAGUGGUUCAGCCACAAUGCUGCAUUUAUAACUGCAUGAGAGGAUAAUGUAUGAGCUGUACGUUUCCCGACGUGUUGCAAGUUGACAUGUUGUAAGCUUAAUUUAACAUCACAACUGACAAAUGUAUGGAAUACUCGGAGUCAGAUAACGCAAAUUAUUAUAUGUUGACGUCACUACAGGGAAAUAACCUGAUUUAUUAAUGAAGUCAUGUAAACGCAGCUUACUUGCGUUAUCAGCUUACUGGUGUGCAUGUAAACGUGCUCAAUAUUCAGUUAAAAUCAAUUCAUUGGUGAUUCAGUUUGAUUCAAUAACUUUGUAGUGAGCUUAAUUUCUAGCUCUUCAGAUCUAGCUUCACUUAAUUCAUUCAUUUCAAUUCAUUUCUCUGAGUCUGAAUCACCGCAGACCUUCUCUUUCCACUUCCCAGAUAUGUUUCGUAAUUUCAUCAGUCAGUCACGCAACAACAAUAAAACUAAUGACAGACUGGUGACAGGUAGGUGCAGUGCAUGAGCUGGAGAAACCAUGAUAAUAUAUGUGAAUCAUAUUUAUACAGCUUUUAAGUGCCAGCUGAUAUCAAAUUAAAUAUAGAUUUACUGUUUAUUUAAGCAACUGAGAAGCAACUGCAUUACAGUACGGGAGAGUGGGGUAAGAUGAGCCAUGUCUUAUUUAUGUGGUCCUCAAGAUAAGGGAAAAUGACGCAGAAGUACAGUAUGAAAGUAUCUAAAGUAAUUUCAGGAUGUUUACUAUCAUUAAAAAUUAUCAGAAUGUAUCUAUGGCAAAGGGUUCUAAAAAUAUGGCUUCUUAUAAAAAAGUGUUUCUGUGGCUUAAUUUGCCCCCAGGGUGGGUAUAAACUGACCAUCUGAUUCAAACCUUUUUUAAAAACUAAUUUAAUAAUCACAUUUCCUUUUUCAAACAGUCAUAUUUCUUUUCUUAAAGCUAAGUUAAACAACAACAAAAAACAACCAAAUGAAGUUUAAAUUUCAACCUUUAAUUGUUUGCAUUUCUGAAACAAUAUGUUAAACACCAAAGUUGUAAUCUUCCCAAAAACCGACUAAACAGAGAGCUUGUUGAGCAAAAUGAGAGAAAACCGAAUUAGAAUGAAGGAAUAAAUGUCACAGAAUCUAAAAAACAUUUUUGUCACAGGAUUAUUGGCAUGGUAGCUUUUCUGCAAUGUUGAACCGGUCAUUAGGGACAGGGGGUAUAUCAUUUUUUGAGGUUUUUGUUUCCUGUGCGCCUUUUUAUCCAUCUUUCGUGAAGAAUGGAGCUGCGUUGAGUGUGAAUGCAUGUUUGAUAGUAUUUUAAAUCCGUAAAUCAUUUCUGCUAAGUUUUCAGUAAAUUGUCAUCUUUAAAGUCUCCGUCUACUCUCUGAUCUCUAGUACUUCCUUAUUAGUCCUAUAAACUUCAUUUCUGAUGCAAAUUUCUGUAUUAUUAUUAUUUUUUUUUUCUAUUGCAGAAUCACAACCAUGAAUACUGUAAAUGCUGUGCAACUGUUCAUUCUGAUUUGGAACUUUUCUGCAGUCUGUCAAACCGAUAAUGGUUGAAGAUUAAAAAUCCCCCAGAAAUUGUGUGUGAAAUUUUAAAGGAGGGACUAAAUCUAAGAUAAUAAAAAUGCCAGUUGCAUGUCACUAUGUUAAGUGUGUCUAGUCUAUGUGUCUGAAGAACCAGUUAAACCAACAGUUAGCAGUUAUUCAAGAAAUAAUCAGCUCACUAUUCUGAACCAGAUUGGGUCUAUCUACCUUUUUGUGACUGAGUUUAACAGUUCUGACCAUAGUCUCUUGUUAGCAUCACAACGUUAAAUGGAAAUAAACAAUUUAAUUGUUUAAGGUGUAAGAAGGUUUCCAAAUAGUAAGACAUCUCUCAAGAUAUUUAAAUCAGACAGAUCAAGAAAUCAGUUUUAUCAGAUUCUCAGCAGUAAAUUCACAUUGUGAGGUCUGUGUGGAGAAUCGGAAACAGUCUGCAGUUUGAUAAGCUAAAUUUGUUUUUAUGAUUUAAGCAAUGAUGUUAUAAAAGAUUUUAAAUGUGUUUACAGAGGAAGCUUUAAACAAAAAGCUAUCAGGAACAUCUCUUUAUACCACACUCAGCAGCAGGUCACGAAUCAAGGCUUCUGCCGUCGCUGCAAUUGUGGGCUGCUUCAUCCUCAUCAUCCUCAUACUCAUCACAAUGACUAUCAUUCACAACAAGAAACCAAACUUCAUCAAAUCUUGUGGAUUUCAGAAGAGGAUGUUUCUGUGCAUCAAACAUGAAGAGAACAACAGCCAUCAUCCAGAAGAUGUGAUCUAAUAUCACUGACUCAGCAGUACAAGUUCUCAUGUGGUGCUCAUAAAACACACAAGCUCUAUUUAAACUCCACUAAACUACAUAAUCUACUAGAUUUUAUAUCUGAAACUACUGAAUAUAUAACUCUGGAUGUUGGUUUAAAACUCUGUUUCUGUUUUAUAUUGAUUUCUGUGAAAUAACAGCAUAUUAUUGAUCUGUUUGAUCAGUGUGUAUAUUUGUUUAUGUGACUUUGAUGACCUCGAUCCUCUGUGAACUUUAAGAGGAAACACAGCAGAACUCAAACUGUGUUUGGUUUUGCUCUUUUUUUUCUGACUUUCAAGGAAUGUCUGUAAUUAAUGUCAGUUUUGCAUUUGGUAGAGUGAAUCUUAAUAUAGCUUAAGUUUGGAAAUGAUUUCUUAAUAUUUUGCACAUGCAUUUUCCUAAUAG